AACAGAUGGAAAAUUUGUCGGGAUUUUAAUUACUGUAGAAAAUUUCAGACAAUUUGGUUUAGUUUAAGCCCCUUAACUAUUCACGCAAAGUUACAAUUUUCCCGAAAAAUCAGCUAUUUGCAUGCGUAAUUAAUGCAUUUGCCUAAUUUGCAUAUGUCAGCAAUAUGCAAAUUAGGUAAAGGCAUUAAUUAAGCAUGCGAAAGGCUGACUUUUUAGAACAAAAUGAAUAGUUAAGGGGC